GCAUAAUUCUCAUUUUAUCAACUAUUAAGAGUACAAUUCAAAUUUUAUUGAACAAACCUCCUAAUGAUAACAGUAUUUAUUUUAAACAUAAAAAACUUACAAUGCACUCUUCCAAAUUAUUACGCACAGUAAGUUUCAAAACACUUUAUAGGUUGUAAAGAACUGAAAAUUGUCAUUUGUUGUGUUUGCAGCAUAUUUACGGAAAUCAAAAGCUAUUUUAGUCAAACAUGUAACAUCAUUUUAACUUUUUAAACAUUUUAACAGGUCACGUUACAUUUUAAC